ACUGCAGUCUCAGACUGAGUGAUGUGACAGGACAGGACCGAGGCAAAUACUACUUCAGAUUUAUAACAAGAAGUGGAGGAAGGUAUCAGGGUAGAGAUGGAGUUGACCUUUCUGUCGCACUCGUGUGCGAGUCCCUCAGUCGUCCUCGGUGUGAAAAGAUGGAUCUCAACAUCAUAUAGUCGUUGUUGGAAAGGGGUCAAAUAUACAGAAGAUGCUGGAAAAGUAAAGAAUGUGCAGGACCCGGAGGAUUUUUCUGAAGAACAGUGGGCAGUUUAACUGCUCAGGACAAACAAGGGACUCAUGAACAACUAUCACAAAACAUAAACACAAUCGUGGAUCAUCCAGCCCGUGACCCAGAAAUCAAUUGAAGUCAG
ensembl:lncRNA